GAGCACCUCCCAUCCCAACCAUGGCGGCCACCGUAGCUCUGCUCUGCGAACGCGGUUCGUUAUCCCGGCAUCCAAUUAGCGGUGGUGUUAAUGGGUCCCUCCCACCAUUGGUGGCACCAUGAUGACACAUUGGGCCCCCCCAUAUCCACACUCAGUGCUGGGACCCCCCCCCAAAUCAAUGCUGGGACCCCCAUUGGAGGACCUCCACUCCCCAUCCAUGCUGGCCACCAUAGCUCUGCUCUCCAACCACGGUUCGUUAUCCCGGCAUCCAAUUAGGGGUGGUGUUAAUGAGUCCCUCCCCCCAUUGGUGGCACCAUGAUGACCCAUUGCGCCCCCCCCCCUCCCAAUGGCCCCACUCAGUGCUGGGACCCCCCCCCAAAUCAAGACUGGGACCCCCAUUGGAGGAUCUCCAGUCCCCAUCCAUGGUGGCCACCAUAGCGCUGCGCUCCGACCGCGGUUCGUUAUCCCCCCAUCCAAUUAGGGGUGGUGUUAAUGAGUCCCUCCCACCAUUGGUGGCACCAUGAUGACACAUUGGGCCCCCCCAUAUCCACACUCAGUGCUGGGACCCCCCCCCAAAUCAAGACUGGGACCCCCAUUGGAGGACCUCCACUCCCCAUCCAUGGUGGCCACCGUAGCUCUGCUCUCCGAACGCGGUUCGUUAUCCCGGCAUACAAUUAGCGGUGGUGUUAAUGAGGUCCUUUCACUAUUGGUGGCACCAUGAUGACCCAUUGGGCCCCCCCAUAUCCACACUCAGUGAUGGGACCCCCCCCCAAAUCAAUGCUGGGACCCCCAUUGGAGGACCUCCAGUCCUCAUCCAUGGUGGCCACCAUAGCUCUGCGCUCCGACCGCGGUUCGUUAUCCCCCCAUCCAAUUAGGGGUGGUGUUAAUGAGUCCCUCCCAC
ensembl:lncRNA